GACGAACGCUGGCGGCGUGCUUAACACAUGCAAGUCGAACGGAAAGGCCCUGCUUUUGUGGGGUGCUCGAGUGGCGAACGGGUGAGUAACACGUGAGUAACCUGCCCUUGACUUUGGGAUAACUUCAGGAAACUGGGGCUAAUACCGGAUAGGAGCUCCUGCUGCAUGGUGGGGGUUGGAAAGUUUCGGCGGUUGGGGAUGGACUCGCGGCUUAUCAGCUUGUUGGUGGGGUAGUGGCUUACCAAGGCUUUGACGGGUAGCCGGCCUGAGAGGGUGACCGGCCACAUUGGGACUGAGAUACGGCCCAGACUCCUACGGGAGGCAGCAGUGGGGAAGAUUGCACAAUGGGCGGAAGCCUGAUGAAGCAACGCCGCGUGCGGGAUGACGGCCUUCGGGUUGUAAACCGCUUUCGCCUGUGACGAAGCGUGAGUGACGGUAAUGGGUAAAGAAGCACCGGCUAACUACGUG
rnacentral:rRNA from 1 species